rnacentral:rRNA from 1 species
UACGUAGGGUGCAAGCGUUAAUCGGAAUUACUGGGCGUAAAGCGUGCGCAGGCGGUUUUGUAAGACUGUCGUGAAAUCCCCGGGCUCAACCUGGGAAUGGCGAUGGUGACUGCAAGGCUAGAGUUUGGCAGAGGGGGGUAGAAUUCCACGUGUAGCAGUGAAAUGCGUAGAGAUGUGGAGGAACACCGAUGGCGAAGGCAGCCCCCUGGGUCAAGAUUGACGCUCAUGCACGAAAGCGUGGGGAGCAAACAGG